rnacentral:rRNA from 1 species
UACGUAGGGUGCGAGCGUUAUUCGGAAUUACUGGGCGUAAAGGGUGCGCAGGCGGUUUUGUAAGUCAGGUGUGAAAUCCCCGGGCUUAACCUGGGAAUGGCAUUUGGGACUGCAAGGCUGGAGUGCGGUAGAGGAGACUGGAAUUCCUGGUGUAGCAGUGAAAUGCGUAGAUAUCAGGAGGAAUACCGAUGGCGAAGGCAGGUCUCUGGGCUGACACUGACGCUCAUGCACGAAAGCGUGGGGAGCAAACAGG